AAGAAAGUGACAGAGUGGUGAUGUGGUUGGCUUGAAACCGAUUUAUGGGGGUUCAAUUCCUUCCUUUCUUG
rnacentral:tRNA from 1 species